rnacentral:rRNA from 1 species
GUAGUCAUAUGCUUGUCUCAAAGAUUAAGCCAUGCAUGUCUAAGUACGGCUCUAGUACGGUGAAACUGCGAAUGGCUCAUUAAAUCAGUUUUGGUUCAUUUGAUCGUAAAAGUUUACAUGGAUAACUGUCGUAAUUCAAGAGCUAAUACACGCUAAAAGCGUCGCUCUCUGAGCGGCGUGCUUUUAUCAGUCCAAAACCAAUAACCUACGGGUUUUCCAAUGUGGCGAGUCUGGAUAAUUUAGCUGAUCGCAUGGUCUCGAACCGGCGAUGGAUCAUUCAAGUGUCUGACCUAUCAACUGUCGAUGGUAGCGUAUUGGUCUACCAUGGUUGUAACGGGUAACGGAGAAUUAGGGUUUGGUUCCGGAGAGGGAGCCUGAGAAACGGCUACCACAUCUAAGGAAGGCAGUUUAUUUCCGAGGCCGAAAGGUCGAGGUAAUCCGUUGAACCCGACUCGUGCUAGGGAUAGGGAAUUGUAAUUGUUUCCCUUGAACGAGGAAUUCCCAGUAAGCGCAAGUCAUCAGCUUGCGUUGAUUACGUCCCUGCCCUUUGUACACACCGCCCGUCGCUACUACCGAUUGAAUGGUU